rnacentral:rRNA from 1 species
GACGAACGCUGGCGGCGUGCUUAACACAUGCAAGUCGAGCGGUAAGGCCCUUUCGGGGGUACACGAGCGGCGAACGGGUGAGUAACACGUGGGUGACCUGCCCUCAGCUCUGGGAUAAGCCUGGGAAACCGGGUCUAAUACUGGAUAUGACUCCAUGACGCAUGUUGUGGGGUGGAAAGCCUUGUGCGGCUGAGGAUGGGCCCGCGGCCCAUCAGCUUGUUGGUGGGGUGANGGCCUACCAAGGCGACGACGGGUAGCCGGCCUGAGAGGGCGACCGGCCACACUGGGACUGAGACACGGCCCAGACUCCUACGGGAGGCAGCAGUGGGGAAUCUUGCGCAAUGGGCGAAAGCCUGACGCAGCGACGCCGCGUGAGGGAUGACGGCCUGG